AAGACUCGAUGGCUGCUCUGUCAAUUCUUCGUCAUCAGUUAGGAACCUAGGUGUGCUAUUUGAUCGCAAUCUUUCCUUAGAAAGCUAUGUUUCUAGCAUUUGUAAAACUGCAUUUUUCCAUCUCAAAAAUAUAUCUAAAUUACGGCCUAUGCUCUCAAUGUCAAAUGCAGGAAUGUUAAUCCAUGGAUUUAUGACUUCAAGGUUAGACCAGAGCCAUAUAGAGUGAGAGUUGCGACAACUCCAUUGACUCCAAUGGAACGCUUUUUUUACAGCAAUGGCGGCUCGUGGAGCCUCUCAAUAGUUCCCGGAAGUAGCAGCAAACCGAUGCCGCGCCGUAGAGAUGCAGCCUUACUGUCUAUGGAUGCAGCAGAACAAACCGUUCGCGACGCACUUUUAACAGACCCAGGUAACUGGCUGAUGGUUCACUGGAAUGCUGACUGACUGCUGAUUGACUUGCUGCUGGUUGACUGGGCAAUGUCACCUGUCCCCGUCUCUCCUCUCUAGCCAUGUCCUUUUUCUUCACUCUCACUUUCCUUUCUCUGAGUGUCCUCGUUCUUUUUUCCUCAACCUUUGAAACUGAUCGAGGUAGAAUACAUGGUUUUGCUAAUUUUAAAUAUUGAAAAUAUCACAUCACUUUACUUCAACUAGUACGAGUUUGUACUUAUUAUAUAUGAAUCACCUGAAAUAACAUAGCUGUAAUCAGCAGCCAUUUCUUGUAUGUUCACAGGUCUAGGGGUGCAUCGUGGAGCAGGGCCCUCCUCUUUUUGACCACAGGACAAUGUACAAAGAUUGUGGGAAUAGCAUCUGACAUCAGCCUACUCUUGAAUUUUUUGGUCAUGACAAAUUGCUUUGCCGCAAUUUGUCUGCAUACUGACUUCAGUUUAGUUUACACACACACCUUUUUUUUGUCUACCCACAUACAGUACAUAUCACAUGGUGGUUAAAUGCACAGUUAUAGGUAACACUGAUGACUCCCUGCAAUGUCUCACCAUGAGUCUCAGCUCCCUGGGUUUUGCAAGGGUUUGCUUGUUGCUUAUUUCUAGUAAAACAUUGUCAAUGUAAAAAAGUGCAAAUAAAUUUAAGUAUAAUUACCUAACAAUUUUUUGUUGUUGUAAUUUUUAUUUGUAUUUAGAUUGCUCCUGCUGACUUGAGCCAACCAUUAUUUUCUCCUCUCUAUGUCAGCGGGGAAGCCAUACAUUCGCACACCUUUCUCUGACUGAGUGGAGCAUCCCCAUACAGCACAGUAAACCACGGUGGAGACUAUGCAAGGACAACAUGAAAGAAAGGACACAUACAAAAUGCUUGUCAUGCUAUUAAAUUUAUUAGAAAUGUAUUCAUGAAUUGCUGUAAAUAGUUAAUUGUAUAAUUACAAUUUAAAAUAACUGUUUUCUAUUUUAAAAUGGAAUAUACUCCUGUGAUGCCAA